AUGCUCACUCUGGCAGCACAUAUACUAAAACUGGAAUAAUACAGAGAAGAUUAGCAUGGCCCCUACACAAGAAGAACAUGCAAACUUAUGAAGUAUUCCAUAUUAUU